UCCUACUUGCUUUGGCUAAGGCUUCCAGUC
rnacentral:piRNA from 1 species